rnacentral:rRNA from 1 species
UACGGAGGAUCCAAGCGUUAUCCGGAAUCAUUGGGUUUAAAGGGUCCGUAGGCGGUUUGGUAAGUCAGUGGUGAAAGCCCAUCGCUCAACGGUGGAACGGCCAUUGAUACUGCCAGACUUGAAUUAUUAGGAAGUAACUAGAAUAUGUAGUGUAGCGGUGAAAUGCUCAGAGAUUACAUGGAAUACCAAUUGCGAAGGCAGGUUACUACUAAUGGAUUGACGCUGAUGGACGAAAGCGUGGGGAGCAAACAGG